UUAACUAUUUUAUAGUACUCAGACGACAUAUAAUUCAGAAUUUUGGGUCCUCUGGCGGGCACACCGGGCCUAGACCCGGGACGCUGGGCGUACGACCCGCCAAAGCAACAGAUAGUUAUAUUUACAAGGGUGGAGAUUCUACCCGUAAGGGCAUGAACUCUGUAAUGAUCCUUCCGCAGGUUCACCUACGGAAA
rnacentral:misc_RNA from 1 species